UACAGAGGUCUCGAGCGUUAGGCGGAAUCACUGGGCUUAAAGCGUGUGUAGGCGGAUCGUUAAGUGCCUUGUGAAAUCCCACGGCUCAACCGUGGAACUGCUUGGCAUACUGGCGGUCUUGAGCAACCUAGGGGCGAGCGGAACAAAUGGUGGAGCGGUGAAAUGCGUAGAUAUCAUUUGGAACGCCAAUGGUGAAAACAGGUAGCUGGGAGUGUGCUGACGCUGAGACACGAAAGCCAGGGAGCAAACAGG
rnacentral:rRNA from 1 species